GCAAUUUACAACAGUUCCUUAUUCUUAAGGGGCUAUUCUAAUACAAGACCUCAGAGAAACAGUGCAGUGUGACAAAGGAGGAAUUUAUCAAAGGAGACAGAAAAAGCAUCAAGGCAAGCUGUGAAAUGGUGCGGUAGGAACCAAAUAGAGAGCCAAAGGAUCUUUCUGUCACUGCAGGCCCUUAGGGGAGGACACAGCAAGAAGCCUCUCCCAGAUGCUGGCACCUUGAUCUUGGACUUCUCAGCCUCUGGAACUGUGAGGCAAAUACAUUUCUGUUCUUUAUAAGUUACCCAGUUGGUGGUAUUCUGUUAUCACAGCAUAAACAGACUAAGACACAAAGUUGGUGGCACUUUGUGAUGGCUGCCCAAGCUGUCUAAGCCCCUUCCUCAUGCUCAGAUACACAGCCUUUGCUUAAGGCUGUGGAAGAUGGCUUGCAGCUCCCUGAGGGUGCAGCUGGCUUUCCCUUGAUGCUGUGGACAAGCUGUUCCUGCCACACAGCUUCCUACUGUCUUCACAGCCCCUCACUCAUCUUUUAAGACCCAGUUUCAACAUCACCUACUCAAGGCUAAUUUUGGUGUCCUUCCUCCUUGUCCCAUAGGACAAAUGAUACAUAUUGUGUGUCCCCUUACCACAUCCUGUACUAUAAGUGUUGUGUUAUUGAUUUACUUGUCUGUCUCACCCUCUAAGCCCAAGAGAAAAGAAAACAGCAUCUUAUGCCUUUUUAUUCCUGGUACAAUGUGGUUUCACAGAAGAUAUCAUAUUUAUUUU
rnacentral:lncRNA from 10 species